CUCGCUCAAAAAUAUCGGAAAAACGAUACAGUCGAUUCAUACAGUCCCCAGGUAUACCCCCCGUUUCCCCUUCAGGUGCCUUCGAAGAACAGCAUUCUGGCUGAGCCGAUUCCCCAUGCACUACUAUUUUUCUCGGUUCCAUUGAAUUCGUCUUCAAGUUCGAUUAAAGAAACGGCACUGUCGAGGAAUCGACAAUCGAGUUUCCGGUGGGGCGACUUGAGCGAUUUCUGUUCAACAAGCCAGCUGCAAUUUUUGUUGCCUUUGAUCUGCGGUGGAAGGAAGAGAGAUCUCCGAUUGUCUUAAACUGCUCCAGAAGCAUUUGAUUCGAAUUGUUCUCUCGAACGGUUCCGUUUGGGGAGAUGAGCGGUGACUGAAUCUGUUUAUGGCUACUGGAAUUGAAAUUCAACCGUCGACCGUCCACCGUGAGGUUUGCUUCUACAUUGAUGCCCAAUGGUAGUGUGAAGGAGCAUUGUUCCUUUUGAAGUAUGAGGAAACGCUUAGUCAGAGAAUCAAAUAGGUGGUUGCUGAAGGUUUUAUAGUAAACAAAAAGCCCUGCUGUUUUAAUAAGAAAGCAAAGCAGGCAAGUUUAUAGGGGAAAGAAAUAAUGGAGUGUAAUAAAGAUGAGGCUGCAAGGGCUAAAGAGAAAGCUGAGGAGAAAUUUACAGCAAGAGAUUUAAUGGGGGCUAAAAAAUUUGCUUUGAAGGCACAAAAUUUAUUUCCAGGACUCGAUGGUAUCUCUCAAAUGUUAGCCACGCUCGAUGUCUAUGUUUCUGCAGAAAAAAAAAUAAAUGGAGAAGUCGAUUGGUAUGCGAUACUUGGUCUGGAUCCACGAGCUGAUGAGGAAACAGUCAGGAAACACUACAGGAAGCUAGCUCUUAUUCUUCACCCUGACAAAAACAAGUCUGUAGGAGCUGAUGGGGCUUUUAAGCUUAUUUCUCAGGCCUGGAGUUUGUUGUCUGAUAAAGCCAGAAGAGUAGUAUAUGACCAGAAGAGGAAUGUUAGAGUCAACAAAACUGUUUCAACGUCACGGGGGAGUUCGUCUUCACAAGCCGGGAGAAAUGGUUUUUACAAUUUCACAAAAAGUGCUACUACUUCAAAUAUGAAGAGACAGAAAAGUGCAUCCCGACCGGAUUAUGCUUCAGCUUCAUCUCAGAAACCAAAACUAACCUUUUGGACGGUGUGCCAUCGGUGCAAGAUGCAGUAUGAGUAUCUCCGAGUCUAUCUACAUCAUAAUCUUGUUUGCCCCAACUGUCAUGAGCCAUUCUUUGCUAUUGAAACACCCCCACCCCCUUCGAACGGCGUGAAAUCUAAUGGAUGGGAUUUUACACAGCAAAGUUAUCAAACUGGCAGUAAAAAAGUUCCAUCAUCAUACAUGGGAGCUAGUGAAUCAAAUCAUUCCACACAUAGCCAAAACAACUUUCAAUGGGGUCCUUUCUCACGAACGGGUGGUGCUUCAUCAGCUGCUCAAGCUGCAACUGUAGUUCAGCAGGCAUAUGAGAAAGUGAAAAGGGAACGUGAGGAGGCACAAGCUGCGAAAAGAGAGGAACGAAGAAAGCACCCAACAUCUAAGAAGACCCCUGGUGCUUCAUCUACAGGGCACUCUGGUGCUGUAAAGAGAAGAAGAGGUAUAGAUGACAUUUCUUCUAGCUCCCAUGCAAGAGAUAUGACCAAUCAGUCAAAAACUGGCUUAGAAAGGACUAGGUUGGGCAAUCUGAAAGGUUGUACUCAGGGUAAUAUAAAUGGAAAUACCACGCUCCAGAGCUCUCAGGAUGUCUCUUUUAGUGAAUUUAAGAACUUAUUAAUCAAGAAGGCCAAGGUGGAAAUAAGGAAGAUGUUACGUGAAUUGAAUUCACGGAGUUCAACGACUGGUUCAGUCAAAGAGGGAAAUGGGAAGGAAAAGGUAACUGGGAAGACAGAAACAGCUCCAGUGAGUGGUAAUCAGGAUGAUAAAGACAUGCCCAUUGAACUUCUGAAUUCAAAGAAGGGACCACAGUCAGUGAUUGAUUUUCCUAGCAAUUCAUGUACCCGUGGUGCAGAAACACUGUCAAUAAAUGUCCCUGAUCCGGAAUUUCACAAUUUUGAUAGAGACUGUACAGAAAGCUCGUUCGGAAAUAAUCAGGUCUGGGCUGCUUAUGAUGAUGACGAUGGCAUGCCUCGACGUUAUGCCUGGAUUCAUAGUGUAGUAUCUUUGAACCCGUUUAAAUUGAAGAUUCGUUGGCUAAACUCAAUAAUUGGUGAUGACUUGGGUUCACUGAGCUGGGUAAGCCCCGGGUUUCCAAAAACGUGUGGGGAUUUUAGAACUGGGAGGCGUGAGAUUUAUAGUUCCCUUAAUUCUUUUUCACACAAGGUCAGAUGGUCAAAAGGCACAUACGGAGACAUUUGCAUACAUCCCAGAAAGGGAGAUGUUUGGACUCUUUACAGGAAUUGGUCCCCUGAUUGGAAUGAACUGACAUCAGAUGAGGUAAUACACAAGUAUGACAUAGUAGAAGUUCUUGAGGAUUAUAGCAAAGAACUAGGUGUUAUUGUUACUCCCCUCGUCAAGGUGGCUGGUUUCAGGGCUGUAUUUCAUCGUCAUUUGGACCCAAGCCAAGUAAGAAGGAUCCCUAAAGAUGAGAUAUUCCGGUUUUCUCAUCUUGUACCUUCACAUUUGCUUACUGGUCAAGAAGGGCCGAACGCUCCCAGAGGUUGCAGGGAACUGGACCCUGCAGCCACUCCAGUUGAUCUUCUUCACGUCAUAGAAAUUCCCAAGGAAGAAAUCAUAGAGAUUGAGGACUUUAAACCACAAAAUUCCACGACCGAGAUCGUAGAUGUUAGUGAUGGAAAGAUGGAGAAGAAACCGAGGGAAGCAAGAAAAGAGGAUAUGGUGAAACCUGUAGCAAUAGAAGUGGCGGAAGAUGUCCUAGAACUUAAACUGGUCAGGAAAACGGUGCAAACUAAUGAAAUGCAAGUUUCUUGAACAUGGAUUAUUUGUUCCUCGUCGUUGUGAAUGGUAAACUUUGUAGAAGAAGCUGAUUAGAAAUAGCCGCUUGUGGAAGCUCUUGCAAGCUUUGUAUAUAUUCCCUCCCGUAGCUGUUUUUCAGAGCCGUCAGCUUGUGAGGUACGAGUAAACGUAAGUAAUUACUUUCCAAGUCUCUUUUUCUUCUGCUGAAUACAUGCAUAGUUCUCUCUCAAUUCUUUAUCACCGCUCACCAGAUUGCUUUAUUUAUUUAUUUGUCUUUGGAAUCAUAUUGUUGAGCUGAUUAUGAUCUAGAUUAUAUCACUGACUGCAAGCUAUCUUACUCCCAACUUUAGAGUGGCUUUUCGCUGCUUGAUCUCGACUUUGGUUCCUGUCUUUUAAUGUAUUCAACCGCAUCGUUUUCAUUUUGAUACAUAGGAGAGAAGAAGCCCCAAGGAGAAUCAGGUUUUUUUUGGCUUUUUGGCUUUGGCUUUCGUCUAAACCCACGCUAGCCGAUAUUGUCCUUUUUAUGCUUUCACUUCCGGACUUCUCUCGAGCUUCCAUUGAAAGUUUUAAAAUGCGUUUCCUAAAGAGAGGUUUCUACGUUCUUGUAAAGAAUGAUCUUUCCCUUCUCCAACAGAUGUGGGAUCCACCCGUUCUAACGAUAUGCAUAUGUGAUUAGGAGGUGUUCCUUCACUUAGAUUUGAUUUGAAUAUUGUAUAUUAUUUGCUUUUGACACAGGUGGCGGUGGAUCAUGUUGGAUAUAUGUACUGGGUUUACUCAACUCAUGAAUUCAAAGUUCAUUAGAAUUAUUUGAAUCCAUGAGAAACUACCAUUUUUUCAACCCUGGAAUGUAUGCAUAGAUAGGCUUAUUUCAUAUUGGUCAUGUUCGUAAAAUUCAAUUUAUUAAACUCUAGGG